UAAGGAAUAUUGGACAAUGGGCGCAAGCCUGAUCCAGCCAUGCCGCGUGAAGGAUGAAGGCCCUAUGGGUCGUAAACUUCUUUUAAACGGGACGAAACCCCUCGACGUGUCGAGGGCUGACGGUACCGUAAGAAUAAGGGUCGGCUAACUUCGUGCCAGCAGCCGCGGUAAUACGAAGGACCCGAGCGUUAUCCGGAUUUAUUGGGUUUAAAGGGUGCGUAGGCGGACCUAUAAGUCAGUGGUGAAAGCCCAUCGCUCAACGAUGGAAUUGCCAUUGAUACUGUAGGUCUUGAGUAUAGUUGAGGUGGGCGGAAUGUGUCAUGUAGCGGUGAAAUGCUUAGAUAUGACACAGAACACCUAUUGCGAAGGCAGCUCGCUAAGCUAUAACUGACGCUGAGGC
rnacentral:rRNA from 1 species